CAUACUGUGAAACUGCGAAUGGCUCAUUAAAUCAGUUAUCGUUUAUUUGAUAGUACCUUUACCUGGAUAACCGUGGUAAUUCUAGAGCUAAUACAUGCUAAAAACCUCGACUUCGGAAGGGGUGUAUUUAUUAGAUAAAAAACCAAUGCCCUUCGGGGCUCCUUGGUGAUUCAUAAUAACUUAACGAAUCGCAUGGCCUUGCGCCGGCGAUGGUUCAUUCAAAUUUCUGCCCUAUCAACUUUCGAUGGUAGGAUAGUGGCCUACCAUGGUCUUAACGGGUAACGGGGAAUUAGGGUUCUAUUCCGGAGAGGGAGCCUGAGAAACGGCUACCACAUCCAAGGAAGGCAGCAGGCGCGCAAAUUACCCAAUCCCAAUUCGGGGAGGUAGUGACAAUAAAUACUGAUACGGGGCUCUUUCGGGUCUCGUAAUUGGAAUGAGUACAAUCUAAAUCCCUUAACGAGGAACAAUUGGAGGGCAAGUCUGGUGCCAGCAGCCGCGGUAAUUCCAGCUCCAAUAGCGUAUAUUAAAGUUGUUGCCGUUAAAAAGCUCGUAGUUGAACCUUGGACCUGGCUGAUCUGUCCUCCUAAUCGAGCGCACGGAUUCGGUCGGGUCUUUCCUUCUGGGGAGCCCUAUGCCCUUCACUGGGUGUAGUGGGGAACCAGGACUUUUACCUUGAAAAAAUUAGAGUGUUCAAAGCAGGCCUUUGCUCGAAUACAUUAGCAUGGAAUAAUAGAAUAGGACAUCGGUUCUAUUUUGUUGGUUUCUAGGACCGCUGUAAUGAUUAAUAGGGAUAGUCGGGGGCGUCAGUAUUCAAUUGUCAGAGGUGAAAUUCUUGGAUUUAUUGAAGACUAACUACUGCGAAAGCAUUCGCCAAGGAUGUUUUCAUUAAUCAGUGAACGAAAGUUAGGGGAUCGAAGACGAUCAGAUACCGUCGUAGUCUUAACCAUAAACUAUGCCGACUAGGGAUCGGACGGUGGUUUUUUUAUGCCCCGUUCGGCACCUUAC
rnacentral:rRNA from 1 species